GUGUAACCCUUCUGCCAAGCCGGGCCAAGAUUCAUAUCGAAGCCAUCCUUAGCGCCGCCAUUCUGGUACCAGACAACAAAAUGUUCACUCCGUCCUCCAAACUACGUACAAAAUAACGAGAGAGGGGGAUGGCGAGAGGAAUCAGCGUAGUUCACGGUGUUUGAACAGUUCAUCCAAAUUGUUUAUCCGCUGUUCAGUCGGCUGUUUGCCAUCCGCACGAGUUGACGCCGUAUUCUGGCGUUUGUCUAGAAACUGGCGAUUAAACCAGCAAGUCGUGAGAGAUGCCGACGCUGUGGCGUCCUUGGUGAGUGCGUAAAUCAACAACGAGCAUAACUUGAGAACGCGUUACCGGAAGCGUGGCAGAAGAGGACACGGUCUGGCUUUUCAUACAUACGAGAAUCCUCGCGUUCCAUCAGCGUAAUUUUCACCCACGUUUCUGUCUCCGCGCGGCCGUGUGUCUGUGUACGUCAACAUCUACGGAAACGGAAGUUCCUUCUGUGAGCACAACAGCUUGCAGGGAUCUUCUCGUUGACGUCCACAGAUGCGUACAAGACGGUGAGAAAGCAGCGUUCGCGAGGUAAAUUGGGAACAACAACUUUCCAUUCUCCAAAUUUUCUUCCAAGGUUACAUCGUAUCGUGAUGGAAGAGCCGUCAGGAUUCAUUGGAUUUCGACAAUCUUGAAAUCUGUCGUCCGUAGGGGUGACACACACGACGUCUUCGCCAGAUUUCGUUAUGGUUCUAUAAACGGAUACGGAUGGAUGCAGCACUUCUGACCAUCCCUGGAUAGAUCUACCCAUCGAUCUGACCUCGUAUGGACGCGUGGUUUGUCUUCAACGCCGAGGAUUUACAAUCUACCCCU